CGGGGUGCAGCAGGCGCGAAAACUUUACAAUGCCGGCAACGGCGAUAAGGGAACCUCGAGUGCCAGGUUACAAAUCUGGCUGUCGUGAUGCCUAAAAGGCAUUGCAUAGCAAGGGCCGGGCAAGACCGGUGCCAGCCGCCGCGGUAACACCGGCGGCUCGAGUGGUAACCGUUAUUAUUGGGUCUAAAGGGUCUGUAGCCGGCCGGGUAAGUCUCUUGGGAAAUCUGGCAGCUUAACUGUCAGGCUUUCAGGAGAUACUGCCUGGCUCGAGGCCGGGAGAGGUGAGAGGUACUUCAGGGGUAGGGGUGAAAUCUUGUAAUCCUUGAAGGACCACCAGUGGCGAAGGCGUCUCACCAGAACGGACCUGACGGCAAGGGACGAAAGCUAGGGGCACGAACCGGAUUAGAUACCCGGGUAGUCCUAGCCGUAAACGAUACUCGCUAGGUGUCGGCCACGGUGCGACCGUGGUCGGUGCCGUAGGGGAGCCGUGAAGCGAGCCACCUGGGAAGUACGGCCGCAAGGCUGAAACUUAAAGGAAUUGGCGGGGGAGCACAAGGGCGAAUGC
rnacentral:rRNA from 1 species